GCUUUAAAAGGGAGCAUGCAACUAUGGCAAAUCUAGCAGGGUGUCCUGGCCCAGCAUGCCCCUCCAAGGAAAAAGUAAGAGACUGGCCCCCAUGUCUUCCACUGCUGAUCUUAAGAUUACUAAUAAUACUAAUAACCCCUGUUGUGUAACCCAUAUCGUGCUCUGAGCCCUGUUGCGUGUUGCAAAACAGGUAUGACAACAAAAGGACUUGGCCCGCAUGACAGACUUGGAUGCUGGUUUACUGUGUCACCAGACGAGGGAGAUGAGAGAGCAGCAUGCAGAAGGCCUGACAGAUGAGCCCUGCUGGCCCGGGGGUCUUUAAGCAGAAAGACUGAGAAUACCCCAGACCAGAGUGAAACACAGAACAGAAUGUGAAAAUGUAACAGUCCUCCAAGAUGUAUUUUCCCUUCCACCCAGGCAAACAUUAUUUGAUUGAUUCAGUAAAAUAUCUUUNAAAAAAAAUUUUUUUUUUUUUUUUUUUUUUUUUUUUUGGAAAAGAGGGUCAAUAUUGUUCAGAAUGAUUGGCCUGCACAUUUCCACUUUUCAAUUCCAUCACAGAGCUCCUUGGGGGAGUCUCCAAGGAUCACAAAGCGUGAACAACGUACCUGGAGUUGACUCCUUGGAACUCAGGGUUUGCUUGCUGGUAAUGCUUUUAAUGUUGAGCAACAAAGUUCCUCUAAACUCAAGUAGAUUGGAACCUUGACAUGAUCAACAUAAGAAACUUGGCCACAAAGUGUCCUCAAGCUACUGGAGCAUAAACCUGAACCAGUAUUGUGUCGGUUGCAAUUUGCUCUUAUCUAUCCAUCAGCAUCCUCUCCAACUAAAUAUAAGUGAGUAUGAAGAGCAGUUGCAGAUAUAGACAGGCAUCAGUGUCUCUAGAAUUAUGAGAAUCACUGACCUAUGAAAUAUCAGUGUUCAAAAGUUCUGAUUUCUCCCGUGAGGUACUUUUCAUGUCUUAUUUUGCUAUCUGAAUGCAAAUGAGCCUUAGUAAACCCUUCCUCACCU
rnacentral:lncRNA from 1 species